GUACCAGGCUAGGGAAGCUGUGGGCUCUCAGGGAAGAGAUGGAUGAUGAACAAGCUUUACACUGGGAACCUGAGCCCCAUGGUCACCACCGACGACCUCUGGCAGCUCUUUGGGGACAGGAUGCUGGCCCCCAUGGGACAGAUCCUGCUCAAGUCUGGCUAUGCCUUCGUGGACUACCCCGACCAGAACUGGGCCAUCCGAGCCAUCGAGACCGUCUCGGGUAAAGUGGAAUUGCAUGGGAAAAUCAUGGAAGUUGAUUACUCAGUCUCUAAAAAGCUAAGGAGCAGGAAAAUUCAGAUUCGAAACAUUCCUCCUCGCCUGCAGUGGGAGGUGUUGGAUGGACUUUUGGCUCAAUAUGGAACAGUGGAGAAUGUAGAACAAGUCAACACAGACAUAGAAACCGCUGUUGUCAGUGUCACAUAUGCAACAAGAGAAGAAAAUAAACAUGGAGAAGCUAAGUGGGCAUCAGUUUGAGAACUACUUCUUCAAGAUUUCCUACAUCCCAGACGAAGAGGUGAGCUCCCCUUCGUCCCCUCAGUGAGCCCAGUGCGGGGACCACUCUUCUCGGGGAGCAGGGCCAGCCCCUGGGGGCACUUCUCAGGCUAGACAGAUUGAUUUCCUGUUGAGGAUCCUGGUCCCCACCCAGUUUGUUGGUGCCAUCAUCAGGAAGGAGGGCUUGACCAUAAAGGACAUCACUAAGCAGACCCAGUCCCAGGUAGACAUCCAUAGAAAAGAGAACUCUGGAGCUGCAGAGAAGCCUGUCACCAUCCAUGUCACCCCAGGGGGGACUUCUGAAGCAUGCCGCAUGAUUCCUGAAAUCACGCAGAAAGAGGCAGAUGAGACCAAACUAGCCGAAGAGAUUCCUCUGAAAAUCUUUGCCCACAAUGGCUUGGUUGGAAGACUGACUGGAAAAGAAGGCAGGAAUUUGAAGAAAAUUGAACAUGAAACAGGGAUCAAGAUAGCAAUCUCAUCUUUGUAGGAUUUGAGCAUAUACAACCCGGAAAGAACCAUCACUGUGAAGGGCACAAUUGAGGCCUGUGCCAGUGCUGAGAUAGAGAUUAUGAAGAAGCUGCGUGAGGCCUUUGAAAAUGAUAUGUUGGCUGUUAAUAUCCACUCUGGAUACUUCUCCAGCCUGUAUCCCUAUCACCAGUUUGGCCCGUUCUUGCAUCAUCACUGUUAUCCAGAGGAGGAGAUUGUGAAUCUCUUCAUCCCAACUCAGGCUGUGGGCGCCAUCAUCGGGAAGAAGGGGGCACACAUCAAACAGCUGGCGAGAUUCGCCCCUGCAGAAGGCCCAGACGUCAGCAAAAGGAUGGUCAUCAUCACCCGGCCACAGGAAGCCCAGCUCUAAGCCCAGGGACGGAUCUUUGGGAAACUGAAAGAAGAAAACUACUUUAACCCCAAAGAAGUGAAGCUGGAAGCCCAUAUCAGAGUGCCCUCUUCCACAGCUGGCCGGGUGAUUGGCAAAGGUGGCAAGACCAUGAAUGAACCGCAGAACUUAACCAGUGCAGAAGUCAUCAUGCCUCGUAACGAAAAGCCAGAUGAAAAUGCGGAAGUGAUCGUCGGAAUUAUCGGAUACUUCUUUGCUAGCCAGACUGCACAGCGCAAGAUCAGAGAAACUGUACAACAGGUGAAGCAGCAGGAGCAGAAAUACCCUCAGGGAGUCGCCUCACAGCGCAGCAAGUGAGGCUCCCACAGGCACCAGCAAAACAACAGAUGGAUGGAGCCCUUCCAACACCUGACAGAAUGAGACCAAACACAGCCAGCCAGAUCGGGAGCAAACCAAAGACCAUCUGAGGAAUGAGAAGUCUGCGGAGGCGGCCAGGGACUCUGCAGAGGCCCUGAGAAUCCCAGGGACCGAGGAGAGGUGGGGAAGGUCAGCCAGGUUUGCCAGAACCACGGGGCCCGCCUCUCGCCCCCCAGGGCUUCUGCAGGCUUCAGCCAUCCACUUCACCAUCCAUUCGGAUCUCUUCUUAACUCCCACGACGCUAUCCCUUUUAGUUGAACUAACAUAGGUGAACGUGUUCAAAGCCAAGCAACAUGCACACCCUUUUCUGGUGGCAAAUCGUCUCUGUACAUGUGUGUACAUAUUAGAAGGGGAAGAUGUUAAGAUAUGUGGUCUGUGGGUUACACAGGGUGCCUGCAGCGGUAAUAUAUUUUAGAAAUAAUAUAUCAAAUAACUAACUCCAAUUUUUAA